rnacentral:rRNA from 1 species
AUGAAUGAGAAGAAUUUUGCUUAUGUAGUGACUAGUAAAAUUUCUAUGCAUGUGCAUCAUGAGAAUAAUGCUUUGUGCGAUCAUUAUAUUGUUGAAUUCAUUCAUGAUGCCACUGAAAAUUAUUAUGAGGGAGGAAUAUUUGCCUGUAGGAAUUGCAAUAAUAUCAUGUUUCCUCUCUAUGUGUUCAAAGUUUUGAAGUUAUGCUUGCCUUACCUUCCUAUACUAGUUGAUUCUUGCUCCCAUAAGUUGUUUGCUCACAAAAUCUCUAUGCACAGGAAGAGGGUUAGACUUAAAUGUGAUAGUCAUAUUCUUCAUGAUGCUCCCAUUAUGUUUUAA